UCCCUCCCCUCACUCAGGCAGUGGCAUGAGUUCCAUGUGAGCGCUGUCCUGCUCCCUCUGCUGCCUCUUUUUUUCUUGGGGCUACCAUAACACUUUCCCUUGCCCAGCCCUGCCAACCUGGUGGGACAUUGGGCUUCCCUCUCACAGGGUCCUGGGGACAGGCCCAUCCUUUAUCAUACCCACAGAGAGACCCUUUUCUCCUUCAGGACCUGGGGAGCAGCCAGGUUCCAUUAGUUAAGUGCAGAUCUGAACCAAGCUGGGAUUGGGGUACACACUCUUCUCUACUGAAAAGUAGCUAGGGAUUCCAACUAGGUGAGAAGGAGAGUGGGGCAGAGCCAGACCAGACAAGGACUGAUCACCUGGAAAAAGCCUGCCAUCAAAGGUCUUGGCAAAUGCUGGGUGCAGUGGCUCACUCCUGUGAUCCCAGCACUUUGGGGGGCUGAGACAGGUGGACUACUUGAGGCAAGGAGUUCGAGUCCAGCCUGGGCAACAUGGCAAAACCCCAUCUCUACUAGAAAUACAAAAAUUAGCUAGGCAUGCUACACUCCUGUAAUCCCAGCUACUCAGGAGGCUGAGGCAGGAGAAUCACUUGAACUGGGGAGGCAGAGGUCGAAGUGAGCUGAGAUUGUGCCCCUGCACUCCAGUCUGGGAGACAGAGUGAAACUAGGCCUCAAAAAAAAAAAAAAAAAGAAUAUGGCCUUGGCAGAGAGGGGCCAGCCUGGCAGUGCCUUCCCUUGGGUUUCUCCUGGGUAGGCCUCUGCCAUGAGGAGGCGCUUCCUUCUGCCUGUCCAUGGCCCACAGCAAUGGAAUGUCUGCUUCUGGGGGUUGGGUGGGAGACUGCUGGCAGAACUGAAAACCUUCAGGUGGGGUUUUUUUGUUUUGUUUUGUUUUCGAGAUGGAGCAUCGCUCUGUCACCCAGGCUGGAGUGCAGUGGUGGAAUCUCAGUUCACUGCAACCUCCGCCCCCCGGGGUUCAAACAAUUCUCCUGUCUCAGCCUCCUGAGUACCUGAGAUUACGGGCAUGUGCCACCAUGCCCGGCCAAUUUUUGUAUUUUUUGUAUAGAUGGCAUUUCGCCAUGUUGGCCAGGCUGGUCUCGAACUCCUGACCUCAAGUGAUCCACCCACCUCGGCCUCCCAAAGUGCUGGGAUUACAGGCAUGAGCCACUGAGCCCAGCCCCUUCAGGGGGGUUUUGAGGCUUCACUACAAUACUAGUUUCCUGUGGCUGCUGCAACAAAUUACCACACACUUAGUGACUUAAAACAACCAAAAUGUAUUCCCUUACAGGUCUGAAGGCCAGAAUUCUACAGUAAGUCCUACUGAGUCAAGGUGGGAGCAGGGUCGGUGGCUUCCUGAGGUACAUCUUCAGUCUUAAGUCAGAUUAGAAGAUUAUGUGAAGUAAUUAACACUUAACGUUGAUUUAAUGAUAGCUUCCACAUGAAAUAGUAUGCCUCUAAGUAUUAAUUAUGUCCUAGGACAGGAGAAUUCAUGUUGUCAAAAUUCUCAUACUCUCUAGAACAAUAAACUCAUUUUCUUUUUAUUAGUAAAUAUUGCAUUUAUGGGUAGAUUUUUGUUCUUAUAGCUCGAGCUGUAAAAGCCAAAGGUCCGGUGAUGAUCCCAUACCCUUUUUUCCGUGGGCUUAUUAUAAAACAGAGUUCAGCCCCUUUUGCCCUCUUGCUUUCUUGCACUUUCUCCUUACUUUCUGGCAAAAAAGAUGUUCCAGGAUCAAUAUACUGCACCAUACAUGGAGUCAGCCAUUUCUCUAGGGAACCUUGAUUCCUUUUAGUAGAGAACACAGUUUGAGGUCUUGGACUGAAUGACUUUUGUGAACCUCCUUUCCUGAGACUACAGCCUGCAUCCCUGCAUAUAGCCCGUUUGGAGCUCUUGCUGGGCACCAACAGAUCUCCUAAAACUGCUAUAUAGUUCUGCCUCACUCUUACAAAGAUUGAUCUCUUGAGAGUUUUGUGCUCUACUCCCAGAUGUGGUCUUUCUGGUUCUGAAGCUUUUGCUUCAGUCACCCUGAAUUUUGCCAGCCCUAUGCAUGCUAUACCUUGGAUUGCCAACUUGCCCUCACUGAAGCCAGUUUCUCUGGUUAGAAUAGUUGCCCCAACCCAUGCCUAAUACUCUAGUAAACAAGGUUCUACCUGGGCUUAGGUUAACUUUUGCUCCUUUGGGCCCUGUGUUCUACAACCAGCACUAUACAGACCUGAACAAUGAAGAUGGCACAUUUUGUUCAGGGAAUGGUGAAUUAAGUGUGGCAGAAAUGCUUUGUAGAGACAGUAAUUUGCUUGUAUGGAAUUUUGCCCAAGAGACCUCAUUACAGUUUCUAAUUUUUUGAUGUUAUCAUGCAUCACUGCCCUUGUCAGAUAGUAUCAUGAUCACAAUAACAUCAAGCAUAAUAUUUCAUUGAUUCUCACAAAAACAUAAAGCAAUCCUCCCACCUUAGCCUCUCCAGUAGCUGGAACUACAGGCGUGCAUCACCAUGUCCACUUUGAAUUCUGUUUAAUUUUCACAUAACAUUUAAGACAUGUAAGAACUUAUGUCUGUCUGUGUCAUCCCUUUAUGUCAAAAGAUGUCUUUUUGUCACUUCCAGCUGGAUC
rnacentral:lncRNA from 10 species